rnacentral:rRNA from 2 species
AAAUUGAAGAGUUUGAUCAUGGCUCAGAUUGAACGCUGGCGGCAGGCCUAACACAUGCAAGUCGAACGGUAACAGGAAACAGCUUGCUGUUUCGCUGACGAGUGGCGGACGGGUGAGUAAUGUCUGGGAAACUGCCUGAUGGAGGG